AUUCCCCUAACAGGCAGUUUCUAAUGUAUUUCUAAUACAGAGAAGAUUAGCAUGGCCCCUGUGCAAGGACGACACGCAAAUUCUUGAAGCAUACCAUGUUUUU
rnacentral:snRNA from 1 species